rnacentral:lncRNA from 1 species
AAGCAAUUUGCUCAUAGCCAUAGCUUUCUUGUGAAAGUAGGAUAUUAACCCAGGUGUCUUGGUGCUGGAGAACAGAACUGGCCAGAGUCCAUCCUGUCUCCCACCGGCAUCCCAUUACGAAAUGAACACAGAAAAGGCAGGUCUGCAAUGCCAACAUCUAGUAUCUAUCCCAAAGACCAGGGAGAAAGGAAGGAAAGAUUCUGGUUCUGUCCUCUUCCCCAAGGCAAGGCUGGCUGCCCUACCAACAGAGGCAAAGAGAAGAGUGUGCAAGGCUGGCUGCCCUCCCAACAGAGGCAAAGAGGAGUGUGUGUUGAAAUAUCCAUUGAAUCCCUGAGACAACUGGAUCCUGGCCCAUUGAAUCAUAAACUCAUUUCAGAGAAGAUGAAACUGAUGUGCGUCAAAAAGGUAAAUGUCACAUGACCCAUCUUAUGUUGAAUAAAACUAUUCUAUGAUUCAAUCUGUAUAAGCUUCAAAGAUAAAUUAACUAGCAGCACAUUUUUAUUAUUGUUUGUAUAGUAUGUUUGAUCAAAUUCCUUCCCCUCCCCAAACUCCCUCUAGAUCCUCCCCAUCUCUCUAUCCACCCAACUCUUUGUUCUUUAUCUCUCCCAAAAUAAAGAACAAAACAAGAAAAAACAACAACAAAAAAUGAAAGCAUGUGCGUGCAAGCACACCCCCCCAUACACACACAAACACACACACAAACAUACACACACACAUACACACACACACCACAUAAAGUCUAUUUUGUGUUGGCCAACCAUUUCUAUGCAUGAAGCCUGAUGCAUGAAGCCACAAAAAUUGGCUGAUAUACUCUCUCUCCCUGCACUGCUAUGAAAUAGCUCCUCUUUCCUGUAAUCUUCUCAUGAGAGUUGGGCAUCUCCUGUCUCUGACUCAGUCUGUCAAAUCUUUCUCUGACUCAUUACUUUGUCUGCCCCCCAUUUACACAUCAUUUUCAAACAUGGCUGUGUCCUUCUACAAAUUAAUUUUACCUUAAAGAUGUAUACAAGGGGCAUGUGUGUAUUCCAGCCAGAGGGAUUAAAAAUGUGUGGCAUGUUUACAUUCCAGCUGGAUCAAAAAGACCUAGGUCUUUGGAUGUGAUCCCUUGCCAGAGCAGCCAUGUUGCUGGAUUUAAAAUUUCUCUGCAGCUUUUGAAUGAGCAUAAGCCCAUGUGAAGCAGAGAAGAGUAUCAUGUGGAUAUUUGUAGUGAGUACAUUUAGUAAAGCAGAUGUGAGAUAAUACAAUGGUAAGAGAUGAAAUCAGAAAGGCAGUCUUCAAUGUGACCUCACUAAUACCUCUGACAAUCACAUGCUGUGCAGUGACCUAUGUACCUAAUAGUAUUAUAGAAAUAAUGGAGUAAGGUUUUCCAUGGGCAAUAUCAAGGAGACUUUUGUCUUGUUCACUGUUGAGUCACCAGCUCUGGGGAAAGUCAACUGUCAGCUGGGUAUGAUUAAGCAACCCAAAGGACGUGUCCAUUUGAUCAGAACUGAGGUCUCUUACCAGGAGCCAAAAGACCCUGCAGUGUCAGGCAACCUCAGAUGAUCAAGCACUUCAGGUUGACACCUUGGUUGCAAUUCAGCAGAUGACCUGAGUAACACCUAACUGGAGAAGGCUCUCCAAAACAUUUGUCUUGCAAAACUUGCACAAGCAGUGGGAAGUAAAAAAA